rnacentral:lncRNA from 1 species
UAAAAUACGUGUCUUGUCCUAGCAUUGAAAAGUCAUCUCAGUGCCUUUAGGGCUACGGAAUAAUUUUUAUUUUGCCUUUUGUAUAAAGCGAGUGCACGAAGUCUCUAAUAAUAAAAAAUAACGGGCGCACAUAUCGACCAAUCAGGAUUAGCCAUACUCUUAAUUCUGAAUACCAUGUUAUGCUCAUAAAAUGGCUGCGCCCAUAAAAUCUAAUGGUGUAUUGUAACCUAUA